rnacentral:rRNA from 1 species
UAAAUAGACCAGUCGACUUUGGUUGACUGCUGUCUUCUUAGAGGGACUUUCAACGUUUAGUUGAAGGAAGUUUGAGGCAAUAACAGGUCUGUGAUGCCCUUAGAUGUUCUGGGCCGCACGCGCGCUACACUGACAGAGCCAGCGAGUACUUUCCUUGGCCGGAAGGC